GUCUCAAUAAGAAGAAGAAGGUGGUGGUUAUUCCUUUGCACAAUGUGUAAAUUUAUGAGUGCAGACAGCGAAGUAGAAUAUUUGAGAGAAUUGUCUGUCUCUAAGCCCUGCCUACACAUGGGAUGUGAGAAGGCCUGUAUCACCAUAUGGAUGGGAGAAGGUUCCAGUUUGCAACGGAACAUUCAGUGGUUAGCAUGGUCCUGCAAAGAUGAAUGUACCUGAUGGGUUAAUGAGUUACCAGUAGGGGGUGCCCUGGGCAGCAUUUGCAGAAGCAAUACAUGCAAACAAGGAAGGAGAUACUCCAACUGAGUCAUCAAUUAUGGAAAGGUGAAGAAUCCUGUUGGACCUGUCCUCGGAGUGCACCAGGUCUUAAUGUGUGUGCAUAUAAGGCCCAAAAUCUUGGAAGAACAAAGAACGCUGUCAAAGAUCUACACAAUGUAAGGGCAUAUGAAGAUGAAGAGGAAAUUUUCCUAGACUGCUGCUUUUCAGUGUGGGACCAUAUUAAAAAUAUUACAGUGGAGGGUUUCUUUAAAUCUGUCAGCUCAGUAAGAUUGCAAAACUGACAUUUCUAAUAUAAACAGGUACUUUUAAUUGCUUUGGUAGAAACCAGAUUUGUGGUUUUGAAGUACUGUAUACUUACAGAAAAAAUUCCCUAAUUUGUAUAGCAUUAGGUGAAUUUUGUUGGAAAUUAAAACAGGUACACUGAACAGAACUGUUUCAGGGCUCACUCUAAGUAUUCUGACAGCAGAAUAUUCAGCUAUGAAUAUAAACAUUAAAGUAUGUUGAUUUGUGUUACUAUGGGUACAUUGACUUAUGGUACUUUCUAGGUGUGGUUAGUGUCUUCCCUAGUUUCUGUUGGUGUUGAAGUUGUUCCUGGUCAUGCAGGUCCAGAGAAAAGGAUUAGAGGUGUCCUUAAGUACUACCUUUACUUUCCUGUGCUGAACUUAACAGAACUUCACUUCAUCAUUAUCUGGGUUCACUGUUUCUGAUUGGAAAAUGGUUACAACUCCAUGUAUAAUGCCUCAUCUGAACCCUGACCGUGCUUGCUGGUGAACUAAUUUGUGGUGACACUGCUUGGAGCAGCUGCUUAAAGCUCUUGCUGGGUCUCCCAUAAUCCUUACAGAGCUGAAAUCCUGAGGGAAUGGUGUUCUGCUUCUACCUAAUGCUGAUGCGGUUCAUCUGUGUUCAGUGUCUUUGUCUAAGGCAAAACUGGUAUCUGUAAGAUACUUCAGAGAUAGUACAUUUAUAUUUUAUAUAUAAUAUUUUUGCAGUGGUUUUUAAUUACUGGUCAUUCAGGAAAGAGAUUAAGUGAUGAGCAAAAUGUAUCAUUAUGGUGGUAGAACUAGCCUGUUUUUGAUUUUAUAGCAGGACUAGAGUGGAUGAGCCUGUUGGUUUUCAUGGCUUGUAAAUGUGCCACUGAAUACCACAGAGUGUAUUUUGCUUUGUACAGUUCAUGUAUGUUCCAUUAGCCCAUACUGUGACAUGCUUUGUGCAAGUGCUACCAGUCUAAGCAGCAUGUCUUUUAGUGGAAGGUGUCCUUGAGGAGAUGGACCACUGUGAGGGACUGUCCCAUAGCAUUUACUUGGGUAUCCUUUUUUUUUUUUUUUUUUUUUUCCUUUUCUAAAAACAUCCUUUUGAAGUUGGUGCAACAAUCGACCUUAUCUGUGUGACAGGCUGUUUUAUGGCUCACAGCUAGAACCUUAGUUACCAAAAGUCUUUAACUUGUGAAUAAUUAAACUGCUGUCUACCAUUUUAAAGUGAUCCUUGACUAACAGGAUGGAGAAGGAAUGUUGUGAAGCUUCAAAUAUUUGAAGGGGACUUAAUACACUACCUGUCUUUGAUCUAGUUUGGCAACUGAGGUAGUAACCUCAAAUCUUUAACAUUGUCUGAUUCUACAUUGCAAUAAAGUUAUAACUGCGAGUGUUGUCCUACAUAUGCUCUAUGGUGGUAACUUUAACUGAUCUAUAUAAAUUGCUGUUGCACAAACUUGUCCAACAUGACCUUUACAAUAUACAGUUUCUGAUGGUGACCUCAUGAUGUCCUUUUGUAAUGGAAGAACUGCUGGUAAUUGUUUGUGAUCAUAUUUUCUCAAUGUUGAAAAUCACCAUUAUAUUUUCAAAGUAAUGCUUUCUGCAGGCAUGUGCUCUUAAUGUUUAGGAAUGUUACAUCUGUCUUAAGAUUGUAGUCUACAUGAUUGUGAAAAGCAAGACCAAGGUUGUUACAAAUACUAUCACACCCAUCAAAUAUUAAAUAUAUCUGUGCUGCCAGGUAUCAGUUUUUCUUACACAUGCGAUGAUUCCACUGAGGAUAGAUUUAAGUCACUAUAAAAUGUGAAGGGGGGGGGGGGAUCAAUGAACUCAAAGGCCCUUCUGCAUUCUUUUCUAGUACUAGGUGUUUGAAGAAGUUAUCCAAUCAGUUGUAUCUUGUUUUUCCUUGCUCUGAUAAGAGUGGGGGGCUGAUUCUGCUCUGCUCUUCACUCUACCAUCGUCUUGCUGCCGUGUCAUUUCGCUCUUUCGUUACUUCAUGGACUGCAAGGCUUUGCUCCUCAAUUAUUAAUCCUGCCCAUGACAAAACUUCUUUGCAAGCUUGCACUUAAUUCCAAUGUACCUACUAAGGACAUGAUACACUUAAAAGUAGUAUGUCAGAUGAGGAAAUUAGAACUGUUGAGAACAGUACCAAAACUUUAGUCCUUUGUGGUUGUUUUAUGUCCUUAAUCUCACUGCUUCUCUCACAUUAAAU